rnacentral:rRNA from 1 species
GUGCCAGCGCCGCGGUAACACGGGGGGCGCAAGCGUUAUUCGGAAUUAUUGGGCGUAAAGGGCGCGUAGGCGGUCUUGUCGGUCAGAUGUGAAAGCCCGGGGCUCAACCCUGGAAGUGCAUUUGAAACAGCAAGACUUGAGUACGGGAGAGGAAAGCGGAAUUCCUGGUGUAGAGGUGAAAUUCGUAGAUAUCAGGAGGAACACCGAUGGCGAAGGCAGCUUUCUGGACCGAUACUGACGCUGAGGCGCGAAGGCGGGGGUAGCGAACGGGAUUAGAUACCCUAGUAGUCC